rnacentral:lncRNA from 1 species
AUUAAUGCAAUCAAGCGAGUGUACUCCUCUAUUUGCCUGCAGGGUAGAGCAUUCAGUUAUAAUACAAUGGACAUGCCUGUUGUGCCCAAGGACUAGUCACCAAUCACAUCUACUCAAUCACCACACACACAAGACAGAUCACGUGGUUCGGCCAUCCUGCCAUGCCCACGGAGAGAAAACAAUAAUUCCUAACACCGAAUGAAUGACAUACAAAAUGAGGAGAUCACCUCCUUUCAUCUCUCACCAUCUCACUGUCUGUUCUCUCCUCUCACAUCACAAACUAACUCCCACCAUCAACAAAUCUCUUCUCUGCUAUCAGUACACUCCUUCCAGCCCCUUUGCACACGCAACAUGCUGUGUGCUCCUAGUAACCCCCAAGGAUUAAAUUUCUGCUCCACACCUCUUCUCUCUGACAACCUUCUGAUUUAUAGGCCAUAGAGAAGAGCAGAUUAGGCUCAGCAUGAGCUCAUACAUGCCCACCAAUUUGAAUUUCGGGGAAGAGAGGUUGGCCUCCAUCUUGGACUUCUUCGUCAGCCUUUCUCUGACAGAAACUGUCAUCGCCCUCUCUCUCUUCAGCUUCUUCAUCAAACACACCUUCCUUCUUUCAUACGCAAGCAUUUCCUUCAAUCUGAAUUCAAGUCUACUAUUCAUGGGCUUGGGCCCUCUCUUGCUUGACUUGGGCUUCAGGGUUGGGCUUUGGCUUUCUUCCAUGGCUGGAUUCAACAAUCUCCCCUCCACCCUAUUGGAGGGUAUCGAUAUCGUAAUUGUCCAUUGGACACUUCUGCUCCAGCUCCCCCGUAGAUCUGAAAGCAGAAGAUCUGAAACAGCAUCCGAGAUACGUUGCCUCAUCCAUGGGCAACUUCACUUCCCCCGAAGUGAAUGCACUUCCAACCCGAAGUUCUGCACCUUCUUACUUAGGUAGCCCUGCUCGCAAAAAAAAAAAAAAAAAAACCCCCCCCCCCCCCCCUCACCGAGUGCGCUGCAAAGUACGCGUUUUACAAGUCGUCGUGACUCAUCUCUCGCUCCCUUGUGUGGCACAACUGGAGAGAUCACUAUCACUUAUCUAGAGUGAAAUAGCUCAUUUCGGCGAUGUCCGCCUGCGCUUACAAUCGACUCUUUCUCUCUCCUUUGAGCUCGCUUUGACAUCCUGCACUGGUUGCACCUUCCUGUGUCUGGCCAGACUUCCGCACGUAUCCCAAAGCAUCUCCUUGUUGCUCCUGUACCAUUCCGAUCCUUCAGUAACUCCUUCUGAUAUCCCUGCGCUUGCUUUGCGUGCCUCUGUGUAAUGGUUGCUUUCCUCUUCAUUCUUCCUCGCUAUUACCACUGGCCUAUGUCAGACAACAGUCUUCUUGUCUGGACACUCCCCUACAGUCGGUAUAGUCCUUCAGUCUUCCUUCUCUUGCAGUCAUUUUCUAUUCCUUGAAACUCUGAGUGUUCCUCCACUAGUUCAAGCUUCAUCGCGUCGAAUCUUGCAUCUCAAUGAAACAUGCCUUACCCCGGUCACCUUCUGGAUUUCCCGUCUGCCAUGCAGAACCGGACUGUUCCUUGGCCAUAAUUAUUUUGUUGUAAUUGUUCGCCAUCCGUACAAGUCCCUCGCAUGCUACAUGUGUAGAGAACACCUCUCUGUCUCUGUCCCAGUGGUAAGCAUUUCCUAAAUCAGAAAUCCAAUCUGCUCUUCAUCCUGCCGUGCUGCUAGGAGAACAUCACUCUCAUCCACAGCCACAUUGCUGUGUUGGCUGCCUCUGAAGACUGAUCUUUGUGCUUUGUUCCUUGGACAAUCUCUUGUUCCUCAUGUCGCAAUAAAAGCACUUAAAUUGUGGCGACUCUGGAUUUUGUCCUUCGCCGUCAUCUUCCGGUAUCUCUUCCUUGACCUCUUUUCCUGACCUCUGUGACCUCCUUCUUGAGACCUCUUCCUGCUUCGUCUUUUGGAACCUCUUCCUGGUGGCUCCUCUAGAACUCGCCGUUUGUUCGCGCCACUGUAGUCCCUCUCUGAAGUUUCACACAAGCCUCCUCAUUAAGGCUUAUUCUGAUAUGUCUUUUCCCGAUACAUCUCCUCACUUGGUCCACAACCCAUGAGCACUGUCUCAUCGUGCUACAUGUUGGAACACCCCUGUGUUCAUUGCAUUGUCUGAUCUGCAACCUCAUCUCAUCGUGCUACACUGAUGGAACACUCGUGUCCCAAUGCAUGUCUGAUCUGCCCAAUCCAUCUACCUGUUCAUCUCCUUCCUUCCUUCAUCCUUGGUUUUCCACAGGGCGUAAUCCGUAGCUGAAAGCGUUAUUCGAGCUCACAAACACUCCGCCAUCUUCUUCUCCCCAUAUGGAGCAAUAUCUGAAAUCACCCCGCAGAUGAUUCGAAAUAUCGAAACUUAGAAAGGGCUUUUCUGUCGAAAUCAAACACUUCUGCUAUCCAAAUUGAUUAAAUCAAAACUUUAGGGACUUAAAUUAUAAUGUUUCCAAAAUGUUCAGGGCACAUCUAUAAUAACAGAAAGUUUCAGGACUGAAAUGUGGCAAUUUACUGUUUUGUCAACGAUCACGAUUGACCGGUCAACGGUCAACGCUCGGUCAACGCCGGUCAACAGUCAACGACUCGAUCAACGGUCAACGGCUCUGGUCAACACAGCUCGGCUCGGCUCCUGGUCAACGGCUUGGGUUGACUAGUCAAAGGUUAUGAUUGACUAGUCAAUUGCUGUGUUUUUUUUUUUUUUAAUUUCAAGACAUCAUCAUUUCCUUUUUUUUCUUUUCUUUUCUCUUUUCUCUUUUCCCUUUUUUCUUUUUUCUUUCCUCAUCAUGAGAUUUGGCAGACUCUAAUUCAUGCGUGGGGCGCGUGUGGGAGUGCGUGGAAGGUCAUCGUCUCCUCCUCUGGCGCGUCGUAGGCGCGUGGAUUCUACGCUCCAAAACUUCAGGCGGCCUGGGGGCUUCGUGUGAGGUCCGAUUUUGAUGGUAUGCUCACGCCAUUUUUGAGCACGUCCGAAUUUGGUAGAAUUCAAAUCGGCUUCCGUUCGCCGCCGAAAUUGCUCCGGUAUUCUCCGGUGACUUCGAACUUAGCUGAUACCAAUUGUUUGUGGCCCAAGGACUAUCACCAAUCACAUCUACGCCAUAUCAAUCACACACACAAUCACAGAUAUACGUGGUUCGGACCAAUCUGCCUACGUCCACGGAGAGAAAACAUAUUCCUAACACCGAAUGAAUUAUAUACAAAAUGAGGAGAUCACACUCCUCUCACUCCUCACCAUCUCACUAUCUGUUCUCUCCCUCGACAGCACCAAACUCCCCCAUCAGAGAUCCUCCUCUCUGCUAUCAGUAAACACUCCUCCAGCCCAGUUGCCACAGCAACAUGUUUGUUGUACUCCUAGUAAUCCCCAAAGGAUUACAUUUCUGCUCCACACCUCUCUCUCUGACAACCCUCUGAAUUUAUAGGCCAUAGAGAAGAGUAGAUGAGCUCAGCCAUGAGCUCAUACAUGCCCACCAUUUGAGAUUUCGGGGAAGAGAGGUGGCCUCCAUCUUGAACUUCUUCGGCAGCCUUCUCUGACAGAAACUGUCAGAGCCUCUCUCUCUUCAGCUUCUUCAGCAAACAUAGCCUUCCUUCUUUCAUACGCAACAUUUCCUUCAAAUAUGAAUUCAAGUCUACUAUUCAUAUGGGCUUGGACCCUCUCUUGGCUUGACUUGGGCUUCAUGGGUUGGGCUUGGGCUUUCUUCCAAUAGGUUGGAUUCCCAACACAUGCGUCACGCCAAGAAGCCAGAUAAAACAGCAAUAACAAAUGAACAAGAGCUCUUUUACAAAAAUUUGGCUGUUAAUUUGAAUAAGCACACAAGCACGCACACAGAGAAGAAAGAAGAGGAAGAAGAAGAAAGACGACUCUCUAUGUACAAAUGCCCAAAGUAGGCAAGAGCCAACAAAUAUCUAGAGAAGUGACUUUCAAGCAUGUAAACAAAACAAAACAAAACAAAUUUUGAAUGUUGGUAGUGGAUGUAUACAAGUAGCCGAACCACUCUAAAAUCUUUGUAUUCAUAUUGCCUCUUACAAUCGUGAUAAUCUUGAUUAAAUAUAUGUUGAAUGGAUUGGGUGCGAUGAAUGUUUAUGCAGUGCUCAUUAGUUCGGUAUCCACUUAACUUGUAAAGAACUAAAAUCGGUAAAUCAAGUUGUAUAAAAUCUCUGUAUUCAUUAUUCAAGAGGGAUUCAGCAUUAUACUAUGAGAGAGCGAGAGAUAAGAACAUGAACAACAAAUUUUGAUCCAAUAAAAGCAUAAGAUAUAAUAUAAGGAAAUUACCUGGCUAACUUCUCUUCCCUUGCUGUUAUAUAAUUUAGAGCUUCAGACCAGGUGAACUCCACAUGAAAUCCAAGCCCAACAUCGACAAAAAUGUGAACCCCCCCCCCCACCCCCCCACCCCCCAAAACAAAACAAAACAAAACAAAACAAAACACACACACAGCAUGGAAGGAAAAAGAAAGAAAAAAAUAACUAAUUUCGACAUUUCAAGUAUGGAUAAUUUCAUGAUUACGAAAGCAUUCAAAAACAAAUUCCUUGCAAAACGGUGAAGUGGAAAUAAAAUAUGUAGAACUGAAAGAUAAAAUUUUCAUUGCAACAGAUAACGGAAAAUUAAGCACUUCAAUCACUAGAUGGCGUCCUAUAUAUGUUAUCCUCGCCAAUUGACCAGCAGGUAUAAGUUUCAGGUAAUAAAAUCAUUAGACAAUACCCAUAAUGGUGGUCAGUCAGUCUCAUAUGAAUGGAAAAAGAACUAGCAGUUGAGUGUGAAUAACAAACAGCAAAAGAACUAAUACAUGGAACCAAUUUAUAGAAUUUCCAGGUUUUACCGUUUUAAAAAUACAGAAAAAAUAAAGCAACAAAAACAAUAAAAAUACAGAACAUGUGCAUGCAUACUGCAGGUGAGCAAAUUAUGUACAUAAUAUUGGAAGUAGCUGCAUGAGAGACUAGAAAAGACAUGAUAUGAUAGACAUACACAUCGGCUUGCAUGUACACUUCAGAACCAAGAUUGGCCAAUGUCCUGAGACUGGUUACACUGUUCUUCCCUAAAUUCUCUAUUUUGUUUCUCAAAUCUGAUCUACAAGAUCAAGAGUUAAGUAUAAAAAAGACGUGGGCAAAGAUCGCCAAUGUGAGGCCAAAAGGAAACAAGAAGAGUAAUUUCUACAAUGAAGCAUAAUGACAACAGAGGUAUUAAAGAAACUCUUUUAAAAUCCAAAAGGAAACAAGUCACACAUUUCAAAAAACAUGAAAUAGGGAAGUGGAAAAUUAGAAGGAUACAAAAUUUUUGUUGUUCAAAGACCCUGUCCCUGCAAAAUACACAAAAAGCAGCUAGGUGGAAUUAUGCACUACUCAAGAAUAACUUCUUAGCUACUUCUCAAGUCUCAACUCAACAAAGAGCAGCGACAUUAUCCCCUAUUCUGGUCAGGCAAUACAUCUCAUUGCCGCUUUAAUUAUCCACUUCCAGAGAGAGCAUAUGGAUCAAGCUAUACCUUGAGCAGCACAUUAUGAAACGAUAAACUUGUGCUGAUGAACUAAUGCCCCUAAAAUUUUUCAGAACAUUUCAAAAUAAAGAAAUUCCUCAAUACAAACAAACCCUUGUACUCACCAAAUGGUCCUUCCAGUACAUCUUCCAUAUUCCUGCUUUCCGUCGGAAGUCCAUUGGAACUUCUAACAAGCAUGAUUACCCAGUCUAAGUAACCAAACCCAAAUUUAUUAUUCCAAAAUGUUAACAAAAAAGGGAAGGGUGUUACUUUUAUACUAUGAUGUAGAAUACACAUAUAGAUUGAGACAUCCUGUGGUGUACCCAAUGUAAAAGAAGAAACACGAACAGUUGUAGCGUCGUGUCUAAUGUUCAAACAGGCACACUCAUCGGACGCUCUUGACUCUUGAGUUUUGACAUGUGUAGGGCGAACAUCUAUAUCUUUCCAAUUAUUAUUUUCUUCUUAAAUUUGAACACAUUUUAGUGUAGGGCGGCGCACGUCUGCAUCAAUAAUGUAGGCUUUUUUCAAUUUAUUCAUCAAUAAAGUUUCUUUAAAGAAACAUAUCAAAACUUUUUGUUCACACUUCACCCAUAUACGCAAUGUUACUCUUGUGGUAAUAAUAAAAUACAAAUAUAUUAGUGCUAGUAAUAUGAAUGUAGCGGUUAUUAUUUUCAUCUAUAUGCAUAAACAUACAAUUAUUCAUUGUGGAGUACUAAACACCAAGAAAAAAAAAAAUGAGUGAGAAAGAAGGGUCAAAAUAAUUUUGAUCUUCUUAAAAGAGGAUGCCUAUUACCUAUACACCAGAUUUAAGAAUUGAUGGAUAUGAGUGGAACCUGUGGUGUCUAGAUAUAAUCCACAAAGCAUUGGGUCAAAGCAAAAGAUCAAGACAAGGAUCUGGGCUUCUGUCCCAAAAGCAAAAACAUUUGUCCAUCUUUGCACUGAAGUGCAAACAAGUUCAUAUAACUAAAACGCAUCUUCUUGAUGGACACUAGCUACCAUGUACCUGUAAUUAAUUUCAAAUAGAAACAACAAUUUCUCGCUAAUAGAAAACCAUAAAUAGCAUAAUUGGUUAGUUUCAUUAAUCGGUAUGACUUUUUCCCUAAGCACCAGAAGUUUUCUACAAAUUGACACGAAGUUCCAACUGGAAAACUAGAAUCCCAUGUUUUAACUGUAUAUAUUAUAGUGCGAGUGAUUACUUUCACAAAAUAACCAUGAGUUUUGAGCUGCAAGCCACCCAACCAAUACUGUUGAUUGGCCAAAAGCUCACACUGAUAAUAUUUGAGGGAGUUAAAGGUGUUUGAAUCCUGCAAGAAUUUCUAGCCACAAAAAAGAAGCAUCUUCCUGGAUACAAGUGCAUAUUAUGAAGAGAUAAAAGACAAAUUAUGCAAUUUUCUAUGUCAUGAUAAGAAAGGGGAGGGUUUCGGAAUCAGACCAGAAAAGGAAUAAUUCUCCUUGUGGUCCAGUGAAGGGUGGAUGAUAAUUCGUAUGCAAAAGUGUGGGACCAUAGGAGCAUGUACCUUUCAGAAGAGCGCGAACAAGGUCUGGUUUUAAGCGACGAUCUACAAAUUCCUCAAACCUCUGUACCUUUUCAUGUCUGAUGCUGUCCAUUUUGUCUUGCCACAAUAUGAAAUCAAAUCAAAAAAUCUUAAGCAUACUCAUUAUAAUACUUUGAUCAUCCAAACCUAGACUCUUUACACUAGACAAAAAGGGCAGAACAAGUAACUAGCUUGCAUCAUACAACAAGAAACUCAGUGUUGGGGCAGUAGCUUUUCAAUGGGUUUUGAGCUAUUUAUCGGCAGUCACUCAUAUGCAAGUAUAAAUCGAUGCCUCUGUACAAGUAAAUCGUGUGUAUGAAUUUACAUUCUCUACCUCAUAGAGGUAAUCAUGUAUACGGAUAUACUCGUAUAUUUUAUAACCACUAUGUCGUGUAUGAAACUCGUGUUAUGCAAAACAGGGACAAAAUACUGGCUACCUCAAGAACUUUACAACUCAAUCCCCAAGUUGAUCAUUGUACACCUUGUCCAAACCAGUACUUAGUUCACGUUCGCGAUUGAUUACACAAGAAUUACAAAGUGAAUGGGCACAAAGAAAAGGCAGAAACGAGUUCGAGUUAGCCCAUUGUCACAGUCAGGCAAUUUAUCGAACAUUAAAGAUGCGAAAACGUUCAUCACAUCUUCGAAUUGAAAAGAGCAAACUCAUUCAAUUAGUUUUAAUUAAUCAAAUAAAAAGGCAACUAUUAGUCGACACGUACUGGUUGGGAGUUAAGAAUUAGCUGUGCUCAUUGAUCAGCUCUUCAGCUCAAGUGAAGACGAUCAAUCAAACUCGUUGCGGAACUGCCUUAAAGCGAUUGAAGUUGGAAAACCUUGUGCGAAGUCAACUGAUUCGUGGAAAGAUUACUUCAAUUUCAAUAUCACGGCGGUAGCUAAGAGAGAGUGUGAGCCUUUCGCUUUUACUAUGCUCUCGUUAGGUUUAAUGACAGAGAAUGAUGAAAUGCCCAAAUACGUUGCCUCCACAUCUUCCGUCGCCUGAAAACAUGCCGUUUCUCAGUCUCCAGUGAAUGGUGGUUCUCCGUCAAUCACAGAUUUCUCGAAACCAGUCCCCCCCUCCCAAAAAAACUGAUUUUGGAAGGUACUAAGCUAAAAUUGAACAGUUUUUUUAUACACCACAAGAAUUCGAACCAGUUUCCGGCAUGAGGAGCGUCGUUCCGGCGUCAGCGUUCCACCGUCUUCUCUUCUCUCUCUCUUCUUCUACGCGGUACUCGUCUACUU